GCAAUGAUGACUUCUCUGGCACUGAUCAUCAGAGCUGAUAUUGCCUUUCCUCUAAGAAGUUCUGAGCUU